ensembl:lncRNA
GUUGCUUCCGUUUUGUAGCUGACUCUUUGUAACCCGAUGGACCAUAGCCUUCCAGGCUCCUCUGUCCAUGGUUGCCAUGCCUUUUUUAAUUGGAUUUUCAUGACCCAGGGAUCAAACCAAUGUCUCUUCUAUCUCCUGCAUUGUCAGGCCAGUCCUUUACCACUAGUGCCACUUGGGAAACGGGAAUUACUCCUUGAUGAUGAUUAAAUGAGAUUAUGUGAAUAAAAGCACAUAGUAAAUGGUACACAGUAAAGGUUAACUACUAGAAUUAUUAUUAAGCUUUCAGAUUAAAACACUGAUCUUUUUGCUUCAUUGUUUGUUUGUUUGUUUUUCUUUUUUUCCCCAGAAUGUCAUUUAGUUUACAUCAUAUAGGAUGUAGCAUUUCCAGAUUGGACAUAGGUUUUCAACUCCUUUGAGUGAAUACCAGGGAAUAUAAUUGUUGGAUCAUCUGAUAGGAGGAUGUUUAGUUUUCUAAGAAACCACCAAACAGCAAACCACAAAGCAAAACACCAGAGCCUUCCAAAGUAGAUGAACCAUGUUGCGUUCUCACCAGCAACGGCUGACAGUUCCUGCUGUUUCAGAUCCUCACCACUGUUGGGUGGUGUCAGGGUUCUGGAUUUGGCCAUCCUGUUAGGUAUGUGGUGGUAUUUCAUUGCUAUUUUAAUUUUCAUUUUCUUGAUGAUUUGUGGUAUGGAACAUCUUAUAUGCAGAUUUUCCAUCUGUAUAUCUUCGAUGAUGAGGUGUCCAUUAAAGUAUUUGACUCAUUUUUUAAUUAGUUUAUCUUAUUGUUCAGAUAUAAGAGUCCUGUGAAUAUUUUGGUAACAGCCCUUUAUCAGUUGCAUUGUGCUGUGAAUGUUUAGUCCUUCAUUCGUGUCUGACUCUGUGACCCUGUGAACUGUAGCUGGCCAGGCUCUUCUGUCCAUGGUGGUUUCCCAGGCAAGAAUACUAGAGUAGCUUGCCAUGCCCUUUUCCAGGGAAUCUUCCCAACCUAGGAAUCAAACCCAGGUCUCCUGCAUUGCAGGAGGAUUCUUUACCAUCUGAGCCACCAGGGAAGCCCAGAUGUAUUGAAUAUAAAUAUUUUCUCCCAGUUUUGUGGUUUGUCUUCUCAUUCUCUAGACAUUGUCUUUAACAGAGCUGAAGUUUUAAUUUUAAUGAAAUUCUGCU